AUCACUGUUGUCGUUCUGUUUCUCCUCUCUUUGAUGAGCUGAGUGAAGACACCUGGUGGACGACUGACCAGGAGAUUCAACCUUUUACCAAAAAUUUACAAAGAUCUAAACAAACUUAAAUAUCUUAUUUAUUUAUUUAAAGCAUUAACAUUUUCCUUUGCAGCCACAAAAAGGGGAUAAAAGAGCCGCAUGAGGCUCCGGAGCUUCAGGUUGCAGACCGCUGGUCUGGUCCUACGAUCUCCUGGACGUCAUAGACCUGCAGGUAAUUAUUUAGAAAAACUGUGAGAUCCGAAGGAGGAAGAAGGGUCGGGACUACAACAAAGAUGAGCUAGAGGAGGUGCGGCGGCGGGAGACGAUGAAAGAAGCCAAACGGCUGAAGGAGUUCCUGGAGGAUUACUACGACAAGAGGGAUGACCUGAAGUACUACAAGUUUUACCCAAACUGAAACGUUUCGUACACCCCGGAGGGACGGAGGUUUACCUCUGAAGAUCUGAACGAGGCCCACCACGAUGAUGAGCGCCAGAGCCAGAAGCUUCCCAACGGUGAAAAUGUCCUGGAUCCUCGUCGCCCAGCGCACACUGGAGCAGUUCACCCAGUUCAUCAUCGUUCCACUGGGGGCACUAGAAGGGGCUUUUCCGGCCUAAUUCUAAAUGGCUGCUUCAAUGAAACCUCAAAAAAACCCUUUUGGCGGGAAACGUUUUCAAAACUUUAUGGAUCGAUUCAGAAACAACCGCAGCUCUGAAUCCAAACAUCCCCGACAGAGACCCAGAAGGCUUUGCACUCACAGACACAGAUGGCGGCGAGCAGCUUGAUGGCGAUGAAUGGAGGCACACAGUUCUGGAAGGCCGGCUGUAGGACGUAAUUGGAGAAGGUGAGGGCGAUGACGGCCAGCGUUGUUGGAUACAUGAUGAGGACAGCACUCCAUAACAACAGGAAGCUAAAGGACCAGGAGAAAAACAGAGACGUAUCUGUUCCAGUCACAACGUUCUCUGUGUAGAACGUUUGUUUUAGGAAGGCUAUUUUUUAAUAAACAUUUUGUCUCUAAACUCUUUGACUUGUGAACUUCUAACAAAAGUUCUGCAAAGAAUUACAUUGAAGCAGUUGUGGUUGAGCGUUUGAUCAAGGACAUCAGCUCUAAGAAGCAGAGGCUCCAACUAUGAGAACAUAAUUCUGCAAUAGUGUUUUGAUGUUUUUGAUAACCAACCAACAAAGAAAACUAGAUUAUAGUAUCCUUGUAAAAAAAAAAAAA